UGUUACAGAAAAUCGGGACCGGGAACAA
rnacentral:piRNA from 1 species